GUCAUCAAAUUGAUUAAUAAAAUGCACGGGAUCGGCGGCAUCCAUUACUAUCCGAUUUGGCUCCAUUCAGCAAAUUGAUGAAUGAAAUGAACAGAAUCGGCGCAUCCAUUGUUGUCCGAUUUGGCUCCGUUCAAUUGAUGAAUGAAAUGCACGGAAUCGAAGGCAUCCAUUAUUGUCCGAUUUGGCUCCGUUCAGCUAAUUUAAUUUUCCGGCCGACUGAUUUUGACUGAGGAAUCUCAAAAGUUAAGAGACAAAAAA
rnacentral:misc_RNA from 1 species